AUGGAGCUGGGCAGUGCACUCUUCCCUGACACUAAAGUUCUGCCAGAUGGAUGUACUUCCAGGCGAGGUCGCUCAGUUCUGACCCUGAGUCACCAAAAGAGGACUUUGAUUUUUCAGCUGAGAAGUGAGCAACACACAAGCUAUUCUUCCUUGCUGGCGUGUGAUCAAGCUAAGGAGAAAAGGCCACACUCCACAGCCAUGCUGGCUUGUCUCUGUUUCUUUCCCCAAGCCCAUGAACAAACCAGCCAGGACACCAUGGAGGAGAAGACCAAGGAAAUACCUCUUGGCCACCCAGCAAGUGAGAGGCAGGCUCAGGCAAGCUCAGCAGCAUCUUGACCCAUCACUGCACUCUGCUUUUGGAGACUUUGAUAAG
rnacentral:lncRNA from 1 species